GACAUCUCUUAUAACAGGUAUUGACUCUCCCAACUACUUUUGGUGUCUAUAUGACAUAAAGCAGAAUAUAUAGUGAGCAUCGAAGUAACAAGUUCUCUAUGUGCAAAGCUCCUCUUUAGGGAAGCAUACAUUUUUAAAAAGGAUUAACAAUAAAGGAGUACAAAGUAAAACUGCCUGUGGUCCUUAGACUGAAAAUGGCAAAUAGAAAAGGUAAGUUUUUUGGCAUAAUUCCUAAAUGUAGACAGUUGGUGGCCAUGUUUGCUUACAAAGGCAUUGGCUAGCAGAUCAGUUUCUCAGAUGCAUCAUAGCUAAUCAGCUGAUUUUUUAAGCCUUUAAAUUUGAAACCAGUGGACAUGAGAAAAAGUGGGUUUUUGGUUAGUAUCUCCUGAAGUAAUACUAAAUUUACUCACCUGAAUUUAAAGGUCAUCUGUUCUUUUACUGGGUCGGGAAAAAGAUCGUUUGUAGCCCCUGCUUGCGUCCCGUGUAGCUCCCCUUUCCUAGGCUUCCCUAAGACUCAGGCUCGGCGCGGCUUGUCCACAUCAUGUGAGGGUGGCCAUGGGAGCCCUCGGGGUCAUUCAGUCAUAUUCUGACUGCCUUCUGUUACUCCUUUGGAGGACAGAGUUUAAUUCCUUCUAAUUUCUUCCUGGUCCCACUUCAGAAAUAUUUUGCCAUCAUUAAAUUAAAAAGUGUGGAGUAAAAAUGUCCAGCUACAAAAUUUCAUCUUUGCACUAAAUGUCAUUACUGAUUGACCCACUGUUAGGUGACUGACCUGAGAGCUAUCAAGAAAUGGCCUGCGAAUUUUUCUUCAGUUCUGUAUUGUCAGAACAGACACUUGCUUAUGGCCAGGCAGUAAUUUAAUUAAUGCUCAUAAUUUGGAUUUAGACAGAGCUUUAGUUUGUAGAAAUUUCAAGUGAAACAUAAGGAUUUAAUGGGAAUGACUGUUAACUGCUCGAUUACAUUAUAUAAAACACCUUAAAAUGAUGCUUUUUCUGAGUGGUUUGAAAGAUGUAGCAAGUCCACUUCAUGUAUUUAGGGAAAGUUAAGUGGACCGUUUGUUUUCUCUUCACAUAAAUUAUUGUUUUUAACUAGAGAAAAAUACAUGGUUUUUUAAGCUCUAAGAGUUACAUUAUAACACAGUAAUGUUUGUAUUAAAAUGCCAUAUAGAAGUUAGUAUGAAUGAGGCACAUGUAAUUUGGGAAUAUUAAAUGUACUCUGUAAUGCCUUUUCUGAGAGCCUCUGGGUCUGAAAACAUCAGUAUUGGGUGAUUGUUUAUUCAGGUUUUGAUUGUCCCAAUAACAGGUAUCCAGACUUUGCUUUUUGAUUUAUCCU
rnacentral:lncRNA from 1 species